UCCUCUCUCUCUCUCUCUGUCUCUUAGUUCGAGAAGCGAGAACAAGAGCGUCAUGGUGAAAUUAUCUUUUCGUAUUCAUCAUUCUCUGAGGGAUUGAAUCGCAUACGCCAGCUGGGUCAUGCUUGACAAGGUCAGUGAGUGUCUCAAACAGCUUCUCUCGCUUAAAGAGUCUCUGUUUUAUCCUUUUGUUUUUCUCUUUAUUUUUCAGGGUGCAGUUAUGCUUGAACUAUUGAAGGACUCAGUUUCUGUAACCAUUCUGUCGAGUGGGUUUUCUUGCCAACAUCACCCACAUGACCGGACUGUCUACUUACGUAGAAUUAGCUGUCGGCAAUUUCGUUGUGGCGUGUAUAAUAAUUCUGUGAUAAAGUCGAAUAGGUGGUGUGCGAUAAUGCCUGACCUUCGCAUAAUCUCCAUGCGGCAACCAGGGACGCGACAAAAUUGUUUAUUACGACCCGUUUGGAAUGACAAAUCUCGCAUCGAUAUGAACAUGGUUGCGACUGUUGAUGCUGGUUCGGUUUGUGAAGAGGGGGAAGGAAAGGAACUGACUGGAGGAGGAGAUGAAGGGUUUGAAGCAUCUAUUUUUGAGCAGACUUUGCCUCCUUGGGGAGAUGUAGCGAUUCAGAAGGAUCGAGAUAUUGAACCUAGAUGUGUUGGCUUGCCUGAGUCAAAUUCUACUGCGACGACUACUUUGAACGAAACGAGAGUACAUUUCUUGGAGGAAACUGAUGAAGAGCAGUUAUCAAAGCGAGUUUUAGUGCUUAGCAGAACCAAUAAAGUUCGAAGUGCAUUUGAAUUGUUCAGGUCGAUGGAAUUGUUAGGUCUUUCUCCUAAUUUACAUGCAUGUAAUUCUCUUUUAUCUUGCCUUUUGAGGAAUGGGCUGCUUGAAGAUGGGUUGAGACUCUUUGAGUUUAUGAAGACAAAGCAGAUAACUACGAGGCACACUUACAGUAUAGUACUGAAAGCUGUUGCCAAUUCUCGGGGUUGCGAUGCAGCCCUUGAAAUGUUUAUGGAAUUGCGAGGGGAAUGUGAAGUGAGGAAGGAUUUUGAUGCAAUCGUCUAUAACACCAUGAUAACUGUCUGUUGUAAAAUUAACAAUUGGGUUGAAGCUGAGAGGAUAUGGAAUUGUAUGAAGGCAAAUGACUGUUGUGCGACUAGAGUUACUUACUGCCUCUUAGUCAGCAAUUUUGUUCGCAGCGGCCAAACCGAACUGGCUAUCGAUGCUUAUAGCGAGAUGGUUCGAAAUGGAUUCAAGCCAGGGAAUGAUACAAUGCAAGCUAUAAUUAGUGUGUGCACGAAGGAGGGAAACUGGAGUUUGGCACUUAGCGUCUUUCAAGAUAUUUUGAAGGGUGGGCUUAAGCCAAACCCGAUUGUAUGCAAUGCAUUGAUUAACUGCCUUGGGAAAGCCGGGGAGCUCAAACUAGCAUUUAAGGUUUAUGACAUCAUGAAGUCAUUGGGCCAUUCACCAGAUUCAUACACAUGGAAAGCUAUACUUGGUGCUCUUUAUAAGGAAGAGCGACACAAUGAUGUUCUUUGGCUCUUUGAAAUCAUUAAGAGAGAUCAGGGCUCUCUGUUGAGUUUGCAUUUGUUCAACACUGCUUUAAUGUCUUGUUCGAAGCUCGGGUCAUGGGAUAGAGCUCUUCAGCUUUUGUGGCAAAUGGAAGCCUCCGGACUCUUAGUUCCAACUGAAUCAUAUAAUUUGGUCAUUAGUGCUUGUGAGAUUGCAAGGAAGCCGAAAGUUGCAUUGCAAGUGUACCAGCACAUGGUUCACCAAAAGCGCUAUCCCGACACAUUUACUCAUCUGUCGCUAUUAAGAGGUUGCAUUUGGGGAUCUUUAUGGGAUGAAGUUGAGGAAAUCCUAAAUCGGGCUACCCCAAAUGUCUCUCUUUACAAUGCUGUCAUUCAAGGAAUGUGCUUAAGAGGCAAGACUGAAUCUGCAAAGAAGCUCUACAUGAAAAUGCGAGAGAACGGUCUUCAACCCGAUGGAAAAACACGUGCUCUGAUGCUUCAAAACUUGCCAAGUGAUUCAGCUUCACGAAGAAACAGGAGGUUAUUUCGUUACGGUGAACACGGACAGAAGAUUAAAAGGAGAAAAGGAAAGAGAUAAUCAGUAAUUAAGCUCGUCCGGAUCGAUUAGCUGAAUCAUGAAUCAGUUGAAGAUAACAGAUAUGAAGCAGAAAAUGAGACAGCAAACAUGAUUAAUUAUGUUACGAGGUGAGAGGGUGUUGCCAGAUGGAUUGCACUUUGGAUUCGAGCAAAUACUCAUACUGAUCAAGCAUCCUGACGACAGUUUCAAACUCUGUCACUUGCCGCACUAUGGCAUAGAUCUGCAGGACGUACUCGUCGAAUCAAAUGCUCUCGGACUUUAACUGCUCCACAAAUACUCUCAACCCAGACUCCACAGCCUCUGUACUUAACUCUCAUAUCCUUCUCCGACAGUUCCUCGUAACUUAAGGUGAGAUUUUAAGGUGAGAUUUGGACAGUAAUAUGAGAUAAGAUGAGAUGAUUUUAGAUAAAAAUUGAAAGUUUAAAAUAAAAUAUUGUUAGAAUAUUCUUUUUUAAUAUUAUUAUUGUUUUGGGAUUUGAAAAAAUUGAAUUGUUUAUUAUAUUUUGUGUAAGAAUUUGAGAAGAUUGUAAUGAUGAGAUGAGUUAAACCUAUAUUUUUAUCCAAACCUAGCCUUAUUCGUCCCUAAGAAAAAAAAAAAAAUUAAGCUAUCAGUGAUUAAUUUGAGCUCUAGAAAAUGAGAAAUGGGAGGGGAUGGAUGAUGACAAAGAGAAUAAUACAAUGGCAAAAGAGAAAUUCUUAAUAUAGUCGCUAGCUAGAGGUAUGCACGUGCACCUCUUACAUGGCCAAAACGACUUGUUUUAUUAAUACCCAAAAAGGGUUUUGUUUCAAAGUGAAGCACGACUGACUUGAAGCAUUGGACACGAUGGAGAAAUAAGUUGGGGAAGAGAAGGUGGGCGACGACGAACCCUAGUAGAGCUACCAACCACGACAACGGUGUCCCCUUUGAGUUGUCUGCGACUCCAUUUUAAUGGAGUUUGGUAGAGCUCUCAUUCAAAUUACUUUCUCCAUCGCAGGUACCUUAAUGAUUUCUCCAUCGCAAUAAAUCCAUUACUUGCAUUGACAACAAAUCUUGCCUUGAUGUAUCUCAAGAAUGCUAUAAAUGACUGUACAUUGUUAGGUGAAAAAAUGAUACGUCAUUACUCGGAUGGGUAUUUCUUUGAAUACAUAAGAGAGUUUGAAGUUCAA